GUACGACCGCAAGGUUGAAACUCAAAGGAAUUGACGGGGGCCCGCACAAGCGGUGGAGCAUGUGGUUUAAUUCGAAGCAACGCGAAGAACCUUACCAGGUCUUGACAUCCUUUGACCACUCUAGAGAUAGAGCUUUCCCUUCGGGGACAAAGUGACAGGUGGUGCAUGGUUGUCGUCAGCUCGUGUCGUGAGAUGUUGGGUUAAGUCCCGCAACGAGCGCAACCCUUAUUGUUAGUUGCCAUCAUUUAGUUGGGCACUCUAGCGAGACUGCCGGUGACAAACCGGAGGAAGGUGGGGAUGACGUCAAAUCAUCAUGCCCCUUAUGACCUGGGCUACACACGUGCUACAAUGGGAAGUACAACGAGUCGCUAGACCGCGAGGUCAUGCAAAUCUCUUAAAGCUUCUCUCAGUUCGGAUUGCAGGCUGCAACUCGCCUGCAUGAAGCCGGAAUCGCUAGUAAUCGCGGAUCAGCACGCCGCGGUGAAUACGUUCCCGGGCCUUGUACACACCGCCCGUCACACCACGAGAGUUUGUAACACCCGAAGUCGGUGAGGUAACCUUUUUGGAGCCAGCCGCCUAAGGUGGGAUAGAUGAUUGGGGUGAAGUCGUAACAAGGUAGCCGUAUCGGAAGGUGCGGCUGGAUCACCUCCUUUCUAAGGAA
rnacentral:rRNA from 1 species